rnacentral:rRNA from 1 species
UUGUAAAGCACUUUCAGCGAGGAAGAACGCCUAACGGUUAAUACCCGCUAGGAAAGACAUCACUCGCAGAAGAAGCACCGGCUAACUCCGUGCCAGCAGCCGCGGUAAUACGGAGGGUGCAAGCGUUAAUCGGAAUUACUGGGCGUAAAGCGCGCGUAGGUGGCUUGAUAAGCCGGUUGUGAAAGCCCCGGGCUCAACCUGGGAACGGCAUCCGGAACUGUCAAGCUAGAGUGCAGGAGAGGAAGGUAGAAUUCCCGGUGUAGCGGUGAAAUGCGUAGAGAUCGGGAGGAAUACCAGUGGCGAAGGCGGCCUUCUGGACUGACACUGACACUGAGGUGCGAAAGCGUGGGUAGCAAACAGGAUUAGAUACCCUGGUAGUCCACGCCGUAAACGAUGUCGACCAGCCGUUGGGUGCCUAGCGCACUUUGUGGCGAAGUUAACGCGAUAAGUCGACCGCCUGGGGAGUACGGCCGCAAGGUUAAAACUCAAUAAAAAUUGACGGAA